AACUUGGGGAAAUUUCCUUUUCUUGUACCAUAAACACUUCAACAUUCACGGUCCGUGAACUCAUCUAGACGGGCUAUAAUCAUAUUUCUUAAAUUUCAACAUACACCAAACUCGAAUACGUACAUCAAGAAUGUACUUAUCUCAACUAAUGAUCAUUAAUCUUAUUUAAUAUCGAUCGAUCGGAAAGCUUAUAGGACUUUGGUUAUGGUUUUAUUCAAAUAUAAAAGAUGGCAUAUGGAUUGAAUAUAUAGAAGCCGCUAGCAAUCGAACUUGAACAUGUGUUGACAUCGAUCGAGCGAGAACGAUCUGUCCGUGCUAGCUAUGUAGCUACCGUCCAUGGCCACCGGGCGGUGAAUCACACCCGCAUGCGAAAAGACACCGCCGCCGUUCUGCACAAAUUAACAAGUUAACAGACAACAGAUUAAUGAUAGAGCUAGCUUCCAUAAGAGUAGUGUAUGUAAUUAAAAUUUGACGUACCGCAAUAGGCCGAAGAUGGAGCUGCCGACAGCAAAAUGAUGAGAAGCACAUACAACAGCACCAGAAGCAGAGCCAUCUUCUUUGUGUUUAUACUCAUCUCCAUGGAUCGGUCGGAUCUCAUUGUCGUCUACCUUGCACACCUCUACGUACAGAUAGAAUAAGAUCUGAUCAUCACUUCUGUAAAUUGAUCUCAAUAUAUAGACAAGGUUAGAGGAUAUCAGACUUCACCAAUGAAGUAUUGCUUCACAGCUUACAGAGAGAGAUUAACUUGGAAAAAA
rnacentral:lncRNA from 1 species